ACAGCAGCGCAGAAAACUUUCUCGUUCAACUCCAGCGGACAGCUGACUGGGCGUGGCCUCACACAAAAGAAGAGGCGUGGUCCAGAAACACCACGCCUCUCACAGCUGACAGGCCACCAUCCCUGAGAUAUGAAGAGGAAAAACACAAGAUCAACUCUGACACGCUGAACAAAACAAACUCUGACAUCCUGAAGGCAGCAAUCAAGAGUACUCCAAUAGCUGUUGUAUUAAACAGGACUUGAUCUCAUACACAUUAAAUCAUUUAAUCAUUUAAUGUAAAGAAAUUAUAUUUAGACUACUAAUUAAUACUUAUAUGAGAUUCUAAACUAAUUUAAGUAAAGACACGUCUGUGGAUAUUUUAUGAGGCAACCUCCAAACAAAGGAUUAUUGAACAAGAGGAUUCAGAAGAAUUAAAGCAAAAAGAUUUAUCCUCGACCUCUAAUUCAUGAUGACUGAAGAGUCAUCAGUUAUUAAAUAUGAUUCAAAAUACAAGAACAAUUCAAAGCAGACAGACCAGACCAAAGGACAGCUUCAAUGAUCAACACACUGUUGUGCAAAAUGUGCAAAAAAAAAAAAAAAAAACCCUCCACACCAGGAAUGAGAGACCUUGACAAUGUGCUGGCUAAAACUUCUCAGACUUCAAUUAUGAGUAGUGCAGUGAGUUCUGAAUAGAAAAGAGUUACAAGGCCGUUUACAGGGAAGAAAGCUACCCCUUUAAAACUCAUACAAAAAGUAAAAAAAAAAAAAAAGACUAAUUUUUUCCCCCCAAAA